CCGCAUGUUUUGGCCGUGGGCUGUGGUUGGCCUCUCUCUUUCUGUAGAGUGGACAAAUACAAACAUGCUAGAUUAACACUGUGGGAGUUAACAGGGCCACCAGUCUCUGAAGGUCAGACUGAGUUGGUAGUAUAAUACUCCAACACUA